UGGAAGGGUGCCACGGACAAAAACGGUCGA
rnacentral:piRNA from 1 species